UUGACCUCGAAUCAGGUAGGACUACCCGCUGAACUUAAGCAUAUCAAAAGSCGGAGGAAU
rnacentral:rRNA from 1 species